rnacentral:SRP_RNA from 2 species
GCCAGGCAUGGUGGCGCAUGCCUGUAGUCCCAGCUACUCGGGAGGCUGAGGCAGGAGAAUCGCUUGAACCCAGGAGGCGGAGGUUGCAGUGAGCCAGUAUCGUGCCACUGCACUCCAACCUGGGCAACAGAGUGAGACUCCGUCUCAA